CCUACGGGAGGCAGCAGUGGGGGAUAUUGCACAAUGGGGGGAACCCUGAUGCAGCGACGCCGCGUGGGUGAAGAAGCGCCUCGGCGCGUAAAGCCCUGUCAGCAGGGAAGAAAAUGACGGUACCUGAAGAAGAAGCCCCGGCUAACUACGUGCCGGCAGCCGCGGUAAUACUUCGGGGGCAAGCGUGAUCCGGAUUUACGGGGUGUAAAGGGGGCGCAGACGGCGAUGCAAGCCAGGAGUGAAAGCCCAGGGCCCAACCCCGGGACUGCGUUUGGAACUGCGUGGCUGGAGUGCAGGAGGGGCAGGCGGAAUUCCUGGUGUAGCGGUGAAAUGCGUAGAUAUCAGGAGGAACACCAGUGGCGAAGGCGGCCUGCUGGACUGCAACUGACGUUGAGGCCCGAAAGCGUGGGGAGCAAACAGGAUUAGAUACCCUAGUAGUC
rnacentral:rRNA from 1 species